rfam:Bacillus sp. FJAT-27986 scaffolf1, whole genome shotgun sequence.
ACUCAAGGAACGAAGACUAAGAACGCCACGUCCUGUGGCAACGUCUUCAUGACCUACAUCCUGUAGG